rnacentral:rRNA from 1 species
GACGAACGCUGGCGGCGUGCCUAAUACAUGCAAGUCGAGCGAAACACUUGGAGCUUGCUCCAAGCGUUUAGCGGCGGACGGGUGAGUAACACGUGGGCAACCUGCCCUGCAGAUCGGGAUAACUCCGGGAAACCGGUGCUAAUACCGAAUAGUUUGAGGCCUCUCCUGAGGCUUCGCGGAAAGACGGUUUCGGCUGUCACUGCAGGAUGGGCCCGCGGCGCAUUAGCUAGUUGGUGGGGUAACGGCCCACCAAGGCCACGAUGCGUAGCCGACCUGGGAGGGUGACCGGCCACACCGGGACUGAGACACGGCCCAGACUCCUACGGGAGGCAGCAGUAGGGAAUCUUCCGCAAUGGACGCAAGUCUGACGGAGCAACGCCGCGUGAGUGACGAAGGUUUUCGGAUCGUAAAACUCUGUUGUGAGGGAAGAACACGUACCAACUAACUAUUGGUACCUUGACGGUACCUCACCAGAAAGCCACGGCUAACUACGUGCCAGCCGCCGCAGUAAGAC